rnacentral:misc_RNA from 1 species
UCCUGGUUAACCCAGGCAGUCUCGUUAGAGUGCCCGCCAUUACGCGUUGGCAACUAACGACAAGGGUUGCGCUCGUUGCGGGACUUAACCCAACACCUCACGGCACGAGCUGACGACAGCCAUGCAGCACCUGUGCACCUGUCCCUUGCGGGAAAACUCCAUUACUGGAGCGGUCAAGUGCAUGUCAAGACCAGGUAAGGUUCUUCGCGUUGCAUCGAAUUAAACCACAUGCUCCACUGCUUGUGCGGGUCCCCGUCAAUUCUUUUGAGUUUCACCCUUGCGAGCGUACUUCCCAGGCGGUAUACUUAACACGUUAGCUACGGCACAGUUGGGGUUGAGACCAACUACGCCAAGUAUACAUAGUUUAAGGCAAGGACUAC